ensembl:lncRNA
UGCCUCUGGCAGUGAACAGAAGAAAGCAGCCAAGGGUUCACUCCCCCGAGCCAGCACGCAAGGGUGUCCGUGCAGCUGGACUUUCAGGUGUGUCACGCUGGGGCUGAGGCCUCCGGAGGGACUCCUAGAAGGGAGGCGUGCGUGUAAAGCGCCAUCCCUCAGCAGCCCACGAUCUCGGACGGUUUGCCACUGUGGCCAGUGUUUUAUUGAUGCUUCUGAGGCCAUAGAGCACGCACGGGGAAGUUCUGAGCACACGGAGGACAAGCCAGGGCGGUGCUGUGUGGCCGCAGUCAACCCUAAGUAGGGGUCCGAGUGGGGGACGGUCGCUAACACCUCGAUUCCUCAUGUCUGUGUUUCUGCAGCUUGGAGCUUGGAGAGUGUGUGUGAGAGCGACCUCGCUGACAGCAACCUCGCAGAAAGUGAUCGAGGUAAGAACAGCUCUCAGGUAGGAGCCAGUGGGAGAGGGUUCCCGGGACACUUGGGUUAGGCCUGCUGCUUGGAGGGUGGGGCGGGUGAGUGUGCAAUUGCAAAAGAGAAAGAAAUUGGUGUAAAGAUGUUCGUCGCCUAUGUUCCUAAGGAGGGGGAGCAGGUAUGAGAUGCCCGAAUGUUGGCAUCUGUGCUCACGUUGUGUUGGCGGGCCUCAGUCCCUGGAGCAGAGGGAAGGCCUGGGCACCUGGAGGAAAAACCCGGGUGAUGCUGUGUGACCCGCCGUCACCUCGGGGAAGCCGGGGAAACGGGAGGGCCACUCCUUCUCACGCCUCGCUUCCCCGCGGUGUGUUUCUACAGACUCGGUGGCGGAGCGCACCGACUGCCGCCAGGAUGAGGAGGCUGCAGACUGUUGCUUUGGGAGCAAAGGAUCGUGCUUCAAAAGUCUGAGGACAAGUUUGUCCUCUGCGAGCUUGGCUAGAAUAAUUCCCCGGUGGCCACACAACAGGGUGCACCUUGCCACUGAGCCAGAUGAAGGUACUGUGGGACCUGACUCAGUACAGUUCAGGCAUGGACAAGAUUCUAGUUCAUUCAGUGUUCAAAUUUCCGAACAAACUCUACACAUGCUAAGCCAUGUCUUUCUUUUACUGCAUGAUGGAAAUUCAAUGAACUAACUUGGAGUCCUGUCGUGGCGCAGUGGUUAACGAAUCCGACUAGGAACCAUGAGGUUGCGAGUUUGAUCUCUGGCCUUGCUCAGUGGGUUAAGGAUCCGGGGUUGCCGUGAGCUGUGGUGUGGUCGCAGAUGCGGUUCGGAUCCCGAGUUGCAGGCUCUGGCGUAGGCUAGUGGCUACAACUCUGAUUAGACCCCUGUCCUGGGAACCUCCGUGUGCCAAGGGAAGCGGGCCUAGAAAAGGCAAAAUGGCCAAAAGCCAAGCAAGCAAGCAACCAACCAAAAAGCAAAUUGAAUAACUCCGUUGGUAAUUUCACAACCAUGGAAAUAAUGAUUCAUUUAAACUCAACAUUUGGUUCCUGGUUAAAAGCAAAGGUGACCUCACUCACGUUUUGACGUUCGCUGAUUUGAUGUUUCUAGUUGUACUAGAUCCCUCCACGGAACCACAUUUCCCAAUUGGAAAACAAUACUAGACGUGAUUUAGAACAACAAGAUCAUACUAAGAGGAAAUGGUGAACAGAUAUCACAGAAAGCUCCCCUAACCCAUUCCUCCAAUUUCCACCAGUGACAAACCCAGAAUAAAUUCUGACAAAAGGGUCA